rnacentral:rRNA from 1 species
CCGAAAGGCGUAGUCGAUGGGAAACAGGUUAAUAUUCCUGUACUUGGUGUUACUGCGAAGGGGGGACGGAGAAGGCUAUGUUAGCCGGGCGACGGUUGUCCCGGUUUAAGCAUGUAGGCUGGUUAUCCAGGCAAAUCCGGAUAAUCAAGGCUGAGGUGUGAUGACGAAGCACUACGGUGCUGAAGUAACAAAUGCCCUGCUUCCAGGAAAAGCCUCUAAGCAUCAGGUAACAUCAAAUCGUACCCCAAACCGACACAGGUGGUCAGGUAGAGAAUACCAAGGCGCUUGAGAGAACUCGGGUGAAGGAACUAGGCAAAAUGGUGCCGUAACUUCGGGAGAAGGCACGCUGGUGUGUAGGUGAAG